rnacentral:rRNA from 1 species
GACGAACGCUGGCGGCGUGCUUAACACAUGCAAGUCGAACGGAAAGGCCCUGCUUUUGUGGGGUGCUCGAGUGGCGAACGGGUGAGUAACACGUGAGUAACCUGCCCUUGACUUUGGGAUAACUUCAGGAAACUGGGGCUAAUACCGGAUAGGAGCUCCUGCUGCAUGGUGGGGGUUGGAAAGUUUCGGCGGUUGGGGAUGGACUCGCGGCUUAUCAGCUUGUUGGUGGGGUAGUGGCUUACCAAGGCUUUGACGGGUAGCCGGCCUGAGAGGGUGACCGGCCACAUUGGGACUGAGAUACGGCCCAGUCUCCUACGGGAGGCAGCAGUCGGGAAUAUUGCACAAUGGGCGGACGCCUGAUGCAGCAACGCCGCGUGCGGAAUGACGGCCUUCGGGUUGUAAACCGCUUUCGCCUGUGACGAAGCGUGAGUGACGGUAAUGGGUAAAGAAGCACCGGCUAACUACGUG